rnacentral:rRNA from 1 species
UACGGAAGGGGCAAGCGUUGUUCGGAAUCAUUGGGCGUAAAGGGCGCGUAGGUGGUUCUGUGUGUCUACCGUGAAAGCACACGGCUCAACCGUGUUUGGUCGGUAGAAACUGCAGGACUUGAGGCUGGGAGGGGCUGGUGGAAUUCCCCGUGUAGCGGUGAAAUGCGUAGAGAUGGGGGAGAACACUCGUGGCGAAGGCGGCCAGCUAGACCAGUUCUGACACUGAGGCGCGAGAGCGUGGGGAGCAAAC